GCUAGCGGCAAUAACACGUUGAAUUCACCAGUUCAAUGGUUUACUGAAGUUAAGCAGCGUUACGUAUGGUUUGUAUCUGGAUGGGUGACCAUCUGGAUAAUCGCGAGCUGCUGGCU
rnacentral:rRNA from 1 species